GCUCUCCAUUUCUCCUCUCCCCUGCAAAUAUGCAGACCACAUGUUGUGUCAUCACACUCUGGGUGUUGCUGGAGAUCAUGGAGCUCUCUGUGAGCUAACACAACUGGUACAUACUCAUUUUUUUUCUGGUAUGUGAGCUUGAAUGUACAGUACCACAGCCACAAACCAUGAAGACUGGGCUUGAAUCAAGGGACAGACGUACAUGGUGAGGUGAGCAACAGAAUUACCUUCAUUUGGUACUAAUGAGCUGUUAGACCAGCUCCAAUACAGUGUUCUUCAUCAUUAAUAAGACCAUCCAGGAUAGCAUCUAAAGCACCUUAAAGUGUCACAAGAAAUUCAAUGCUAAUGGAGGCUAUAUAUUUUAAGAAAGACUAAAAGUGUGUAUACAGAAGAUAAAUAGGCUUGUGGUCUAUUAUCCUUGUUUAGUUCUCUCAGUAGAGUAAAAUUUUACUUCUGCAUUGCUGCUCUGUUAGGAAAAAGCAGCUUCUCCUCUCAUCAAAACAAAAAUUAGAUUAUAAGCCUUACUUCCUUGAAUUGAAAUGAUUGGUUUCAAACUAUUCAUAUUUUCUUAUCACUUUAAGAAAAUAUUCAUGGACUUAUACAUAUUAUAACAGUCUCUGAAAACCUGAGUUUUCUGGUUUUCCUAAAAUGCUAGCCAUGAAGUCAGUCUGCAAUGAAAUCCAGGUGAAUACACUUGGAUGGAACUCCACUAGUGAUAGACACAUCUCUGUCCAACAGUGGGAGGUGAUAAUGACCAGGGGAUGGAGGCAACUCCUGACGGAUGGGGCAGUGCCUUGUCAGGUAUACACUUUCACAUUGCCCACUCAUCCCCUUCAUCGUGACACUCCAAUGAUCACAGCACAACCUAUAUGCUGAAGCAGAACUGAGAGAGUGGGGAAACCUCUGAGUGCAUGUGUUAUUCAGUACAUUUUUUUAGAUCCAUGUUUUCUUUUGUUUUCAGUGGUGACAGGGUUUGAUUUCUGCAUGUUAUUCACAGGCCAAUCUGCUGCUUCUGCUAUUCUGAUCUGCUCCAUAACUUUUUUGCUAUUCCUAUUUGUUUUGAGAGGAUGCCCCCUAACUUCAUGUGGCAUGAAGUUUUUUUUUCUUCUUGAUCAAACAUCAGAAACUUUCAGAGAAAGGAGAAAAAAACAAGACUUUGCAUCUAAUGAGGUGAAACCACACAGAUAAAACCUCUGCACAAACAGAUCCUUGCAACUUUUUUCUUUUUUUUUUUUUUUUGGCUGGACCUUCUUGAAGUUUGCUGUGAGUGAGCUGAUGGCUGACAUGAAUGUUUGUAGCAAACAAAGACUGAGCUACCAGAGUGACGACUGCACAAAUUUUACUUGUAUACAUCUUGGUGAACACUUCUUGCUGCAGUUCUCAAGCAGCUCAGCCAAAAGCAUUGCGACAGCAGCUGAAGUUUCACAACACGCACAGUCCUGCUGAUGCUGCUGAUCAAUGAGAUGCAGAGCUUUUUUUUUUUCCCAGUGCAGCACAGAUUUGGGGGUUGCUGCUUGCAUAAGUGAAAAAAUCAAAAGUAUGAAGCAGACUAAAGAACAGAGUCUGGCACCUUGACUAAAACAGCACUUCUUUUCAACUUUCUCAAUUUGACAGACUUUUCAUGAGAGUUAUUUUUAACAAAUUGUUUUUUAUGGUAAUAUGCACUUUUAUCAUAUCUUCCUCAUGAGGAACUCCAACUGUCUCAAAGCGUUAAUUGAAAAAUCCUUGCAGAAGAUAUUGGAGGCAAGCAGAGUGUGCUAAAGCCUAUGCAGGACAGAUGGGGAAACAGGGGCACAACACAGGUAUGUGCUAUGUCCAAAGUCAUAUGAAAUAAAAAAUAGUCUCCCUUCUCCCCAGUUCUUUGUUCUGGCUUCAAGGUGAGGGCUGCUUCCAGCCUCCUCUCUUCUGCUUCUGGGGUGGAUUUGAGGAAAAUCACAGUAAUGCACUGUCUUUGUUUUGAGCACAGACAAUGGUAGUUAUGCCACCACUGGAUUGCUUCUCCCUUUCCUGCAUCCAAUGAUAUUUCUUUUGUUUGCAGACAGCUAGACAAGAUCUUGCUUGAGCAGAGUGUCAGCAGGGACCCAGGGUUUUCUGUGUCAUGCAAAGGGACACAGCCCAGAGGACCCUGCAGAGAUGCUUUUCUCUGAAAGGGCAGGCAAGCCUGCAGAAGAGCAUGGCCAGCAGGUUGAAGGAGGUGAUCUGCUUCUCUGCUCCCCUCUGCUCUUCUCUGGUGAGUCCAUAUUUAGACUACUGUGUCCAUUUCUGGGCAAGUUCAAAAAGACACGGAUCUCCUAGAAAGAGUUCAGCUUAGAGCCACAAAGCUGAUUAAGGGCCUGAAGCAUCUCCUGUAUGAAGAAAGGCUGAGUAACUUGGGUCUGUUCAGCCUUGGGAAUAGAGGACUGAGAAUAUCUAAAGGGAAGUGGGAGGCAAAUGGAUGAGGCCAGUCUCUUCUCGGUGGUGUGUAGCAACAGACAAGGGGUAAUGCCCUAAAACUUGAACAUAGGUAGUUCUGUACUAACACGUGUAAGAACUUCUUUACAGUAAGGGCGAUGGAGUGCUGGAACAGGUUGCCCAGAGAGGUUGUGGAAUAUCCUAUGAAAAUAUUCAAGACCUGUUUGGAUGCCUACCUGUGUGACCUACUGUAGGGUGCCUGCUUUAGCAGGAAAAGUUGGGCUCAGUGAUCUCUUGAGGUCCCUUCCUACCCCUGUGAUUCUGUGAUUCUGUGAAAUCCUGCAGGUCAGCAGGGCUUAUUAGCUCUGACUGCACUGCAGUAAUGCAGUAAUGCAGUUGUGUGGCUGCAAACCUGAGCCUUGCAUCUGUGGAUGCUUAUGACUUAAGGGAUCUAUGCACCAUGCUCUGGAUACACACACACAAAAUGCUCCUUUCCAAGUGGAAGCAGCAUCUCAGUAACAAUUAGAGGAGGGAAAAAACACUCAGGAGUUGAAAUGCUGGGACCAGGGCACAUUCAGGCAUGCCUUGCAAGUUCAGUGCUGUACUGAAGAGCCUCACCAGAAUAGCUGUCCACUGCCUCCAUCCCUAGACCAAGCAUGGACCUUCAUGGGGCAGUGUUUCCAAAUUCCCCACCUACAGCGCUACUGUGUCCUUCCUUCCCAAGCUUGGGGACACAUGUAGGAGGGGAAUACUCUACCACAAGCUAAGAUCAGACACAUCCAUCACACUCCUUACACUGUCUCGCUUUUUUUUUUUUUUCAUUGGGUAACAGUAACCCAUGUUUUUCUUGAUACUUUGAGCUGGGGGUUAUCAUCAGACUGAAAGUCAGUCUCUGGGGUUUGUCAGCUGAAGAGAGGAUAGUGAGUUUUUUAUUUUCAGGAGGAGGAAACAGUCCUCAUGUUUUCAGUGGGCACUUUAAAGCAAGGGUGACUGGACUUGACGCUGGCCUUGCUCACACUGCUGCAGAGGCUACAGUAACAGUCACAAGGAAUUGGAUGAUGGUGAUUUGUCUCAGACACUCCUGUCCCAUGCUGUCUAUGCAAGAUGCUGGGCGUGGGCUUGGUGCCAAAGGUGGCCAAAUCCUGGGCAGAGCAGCUAGGCACAGCACAGCCCUGGAGCCCCAUUGCAGAGUUGCUUGCUGAGUGUUAAUGGUACUUGCCUUCUUCCACUUUUUCCUUGAUUAUAACAAGAAAAAUCCUGCAUCCUCAGAAUGCUGAAUUUUCUAGACAAGCUAUUCUCUAUCUUUCUCUUUUUAAAAGGUAAUUGUAGCAAAGUGCUGAUUGAUGGGGCUUGUGAAUACAACUUUUUCUUAUCUAAAAACCAGUUAUACUGUGGGCGCUACUUGCCUAGUACCCAUUAGAAAGAGUUAAUAUCCAUUUUCUGGAAGACUGAAGAAGUUCCCCAGGCACGGCCCAUGGCCCAUUGAGUUUGUCAGCUGCAGAAACAUCAUGACUUCAAUCAGUAUUGUAGACUUUGUCUCUUGAAAUCUGUCGCAUAAGCCGUGGUAGCAUUUGGCACAUUCAAAAUGUAAUCUGCAGAUGAGAAUCGAUUGUUUUGUACCCAUCGACCUUCAGAAAAGUUUCUUACAGCGGCUGCUGUGAUGAUAGUAUCUCCUAGGAAGAUUACCAUCUGUGGAGGCAGGUAGCUUGGUUCUACCUUGUUUAUCUCCAGAUGAACAAGGAAACGAAUCUCUGAGGCACAGCCCGAGAUCUUAUCAGCCAGAACUUAAUAGGCAGCUCUGGCUCCCUGGCACAUUUUGGGACAUACAAGUUAAGCCUGUAGCAAAAGGUAAUGGCCAUGCCUGUGUUGCAGAUAUUUUAAAGUGUAACUGUUAUGUAAAUAACCAAUUUUUCAGUUCGAUGACUGAAGCAAGCAGUAGAAAAAAAGUUUGGUGCUGAAUCAAAACAGAUUUUGUACAGAUUCUUUUGAAAAGUGAUAUCCCCAUUUCUUCCCAUGGUAUUGUUUUCUUUAAAGUUAAUUCAAAAUAUUUCAUGAGCUACUUUUUGAAUUAUUUAGAUGCUUGAAUAGACUUUUUAUUCAGCUUUAGAUGAACCCGAUGUUACAAAAAGCAGUACAAUGGACUAAUGGAGUCUGAUUUUCAAUUAGCAGCAUGUAUCCUCCUUCUGUAUGUUCUGCGUACAAUCCAGAUCCUUUGUCAUGGCCUGAUAACACUUCCAUGGCAACACUUUGAUGCCACUAACACCCAUGCACCUUCUCUCUGUUAUAGCUGUCUUUCUUAUGGACUCAGAUCCUUCACUAGCGCUUACAACUGCCCUUGAAUUCCCAAAAAUUUCUAUGCCCCCAUGCUUCCCAUAUGUACCAAAUGUCCCGUAUGGCCCCUCUCCCACAAGACCCUUGGUUUCAUUACAUAUUCCUUACUUUUUUAUAUGCAAGUACAUACAGAUAUAUAUAUGUACAUAUAAAUACUCGCAACAUUUUUCAUAUGCUCUGCCUAACUUGAUUUAGCAUAAGAGCCAAUAAUGAAACAGCAGGCAGUGCAGUAUAUUUGAAAUGAGAUUUGUGCUGACUCGGCCAGCCAAGUGCUGUAAAGCGCUGAAUCUCCUGGCUUUCCCUUAGUGGGAUCACUCAUUAAUGCUCUCUCUUUUAUCCAGCCAUUGAUCUUCAGAACACUUCUGGGAGUUGAAUGUUUCUAAGAUGUUAAGCUUUUGUCAAGUUUAGUUGAAAUUGCAUGAUGGGUUUAAAAGUUAUUAGGGAAGAGGAUUACUAACCAGGUGGAAAGAUAAGCAACGUAAUUCCAUAUGGAAUUUUUUUCUGAUGGAAAAAUAUGCUUUAAGAUAUGAAAAUGAAACGAGCCAACAUAAAAAAAUCCAAUUAAGGCAAAGCAUUACAUUCAACAUCCAUCCAUUAAAAAGCUUUGUUUCUUGAAAACUACAUUUAACUAGCAUUUUGUUCAGAAAGAGCUCCAUGCUGGGGUUCAUCUUGGUUUGAGAUCCAGCUGGUAUCCAGUCUGCUAAAAGGAAUCAAUGAGAUGUUGAAUUAAAGUCAGAAUUCUUUAUUCGUUGAUUAUCUUCAGAAUAAGAUGUUGAAGAAGUCUACUUCCCUGAAGACAGGAAAAUACAAUGAUCAGAAAUUUCAUCCUUGCUACCAGCUCUGAAAGUAUGUGAAUUAAACCCCAGAAACUGGACAUACUGAAGAACUGAAUAGGGAACCACAAAUUCUUCACUUUUCUUAGUUAAAUGUGUGGUGCAGCGUGCAAGCGUACAUCCUGCCGCUGUAGUGCCUUGGCUGGUUUACCUGCCAAUGUCUUUUUAUAAGCAACAAUAAAGAUGCUGUGCUGAAAGGAUGAGAGGAGGGCCAACCUUUUAUUACUAUAAGCAAUUGGUAAAGCACCAAUUAUUUCUUUAAAUGAGAAUGCAAGUCUAUUGUAAUUGAAUUACCUAGUUGGGAGAGUAAACCAUUGAAGGAGGACUGUUUUUACCUUGAAUAUCUCAUUAUGUUCAUUGGGAACUGGGAGCUAAACUGUCACUAGAAAAUGGGAGACAAAGUGAGAUCAUAAUCACUAGAGACUAAAUUUCUUGGAAACCUUAAAGAAAGAAGUGUCAAAUAUAGGUUAAUUCACCUAAUUCAAUAGAUUUCAAAUGCUUAGAUGGAGUGGAAAUGCAGAGACUGCUGUACUUUCCAAGGCAGAUACAAGCUAUUCAAAGUUAACCUUUGGCUCUACUGCAUAGCACUGCCGAAAUGCAUUGCUUGUCUCCUAAUGUAUUCUCACUGCUCCAACCUUCAUCACAUGCCCAAUCUACAAGAACAGUCUUGUCAGGAGCAAGCACUUACUGUUCUUCAGAGGAGACCUCGAGGUGAUUUACUUUUUGGUUGUAUGAUAUCCCACACUGACAACCCAACUUUCAGAAAGUUGAAUGACAUGUCUAGGUGAAUUCUGGGAAUAAGUAUUAGCUAUGUAAGGUGAGGAGUCUAAAGAAUCCCAAACAUAUUUACCUUUGGAUAUGUAGAUAUGUUCUUUAUUAAUCUCUGAGUCUUUCUAGUGAGAUUGUUUGUUAGUACAGGGUUAAGAUCUAUAUUUUUCUGUUAUUGGCAUCUGUCUGCUAUCAGCUGAGCAGAACCCAACUUUUUUUUUUAAUGCAUUUCAGACAUCAGUCACUCUCUGGAUUCAAUUUUUGGCCAUUUUUUAUCAAAAAUGUGCAUAUAGAACAUGGAACAGAUGAUUUUGAAAUAAGAAGUGUCGAAUGUUUCAAACUGUCAAGCCAGCAUUUUCACAAAUUUGAUGGCAUGAUACAUUAACUAGACUGGACAAGUGAUGAAUUACUGCAUUCUUUUCUGUUGUUUAAAAAAAGAAUUGGUCAGUGCAGAGUACUUUGAUCUGAGUGAUAGCUAUAACAGCCCAUGUAUACUUACUGCGUGACAACAUUCACCUCCUCUUCCCAAGCAGGCUAAGAAUGACAGUACUCUUAUAAUACUUCUACUGUGAGAGUUUUGGAUGUAAUACUAGAUAUACACUAACAAGAUACACUAAAAAAUCCUUUUUUUUUUUUUUUUUGGUCUUCUUGAAUGAUGAUAUAAUCUUUUUUCCCCCUGUAAUUAGGGAGAUAUAAAUUGAGAAUAUAAAUAGUCCUGUGAUUAUGAAAGUUGAAGGUCUGAAAUAGAAGUGAAAUGAAGAAAUUGUUUAAGCAAAAGGGAUACAAAUGUGUGCUGUAUGAAAGCAGGGGAAGAAAGAGAAGCAAGGUUGAAGAGAGGCACAGCCCAGGAAAUCUGAUGGGAAGAGAAAAUGGAACAAAAAAGAUUAUUUUUAUAAAUGCCUAUUAUAAAUGCCUUUAUCUCUCUGCAACUUUUUGAGGAGAGCUUCAAUUUAUGUCUGGAAAUCACUAUAGGCCUAUUCAAACAGAGGCUGAUUGCUGUAACCUUAAUACUAUGCUGAGCUUUAGAGAAUAUUCUGAAUUAUUAUUGCACAAAUGUGUUACAAGUUUAGCAUGUGCUGGACAGUGCUGGAUUAACCUGACUGGUUUUAUGUGAAGAUUCAGAGUAUGAGAAAAAGAAUCUAAGUAGCAUAUAGUGUGCCAUAGUGAGUAUGGAUGUCCAACCAGCAAGACCACUUUCCGUAACAAAAUGAAGAGGCUGAUACCUUGGUAAUUUGUUUGUGAUCGUAAGGUCAGGAUCUGAUACACAAAUAGUUCUGAAAUAUGAAAUCCAUUCAGUUUAUGCCAACGUCUACAGUACCUAGCAGUUAUGCAACAUUUUUGUAUCUAAAUCGGUGUCUGAGUACAACUUCACCAUAUAUAACCUGUAUGAGAACUGGUUGAUUGAUGAGCAGAUGCAGUCUCAAAUGUCAAAUGCUCACUAGAGUAUAAAUGAUUGAUCAGCAUGUAAACCUGCUGAUCUUCUGGCAUUAUUGUAAACAUACAACUUCUAAUCAUUUCACUGAGCUUUUUUACGGAUUUAUUUUAGAUAAGCUUGUCAGUCCUCUCCAGGAAAACAGUUGGGUUGAUAGUUAUAUUAGGAAGAUUUAUUGUACUUCAUAACAUGUCAUAUUUGCCCAUAUUGGAUAGAAAUUAACAUCUACAGAGCAGCAGGGAGAAUACUUACAAAACUGAGGCAGAACAUUAGAAGGUAGUUUUCCUCUUUUGAUAGCUACUGCCUUGGCUUGGAAGUGCUGAGGCCACAUGCCAGUGUAUUCUCAGAGGUUUUCAGCUAUCGUUUUAAAUUCAACAAUUAGAUGCCGCAGGCUAGUUCUGAAAGGGCACAGAAAUGCAGCCUUAAUGCUGAUACAAUUUUUUAUUUUCUCAAGGAAAGUUUCUCCUUAACCAUUUAGCAUUACUUCUUUCCAUUUGCCAAAUCCAGCAUUUCCAUCAAGGAUACAAGCUGUUUUUUUUUUCUUUUUUCUUCUUCUUUUUUUUUUUUUUCUGUGGCUGUUCUCCUCUGUACAACACUUUUAUACCUUGCCAGCAUGGCUUCUGUACUCAAUUUCCAAUUAACUCUUUGACAGUGUUUUUGUCUUCCUCAUAUUUGGAACACAUUGACUGAUUUCUAAUACGGUUCCACUUUCUCUAGUGGACCAAUCUUUGUCUCUGUAGGAUAUAUGGUGUCAGAACUUUAUUGCUUUAUCACAGUUCUAUUUCAAGGGGUCACCCAGUUGUUACUGUUGGAGUGUUACAAUAGUUCUUCAAAGGAAAUAUGGAACUAUUUGAUACACGUCAAACAUUGAAACACCUGAAAAAUGUUGUUUGAAGCUCUGUAUUCAAGGAUUAAUUUAAGUGAGAUUCAUGAACAUUUAAAAUGUGUAUGAGUUACUCUAAUGGUUUCACUUUACUCCCACCCUCUAAAAUUCUUACUGAUUUACCAGGAUGAAGGAAAUCACUGCAUAAUCACAUCCAACUUGCCCAGUGGAAAAGCUCUGAGAUUUUGUUUCAAUAUUCUAUCUUCUGUCUUUAAGCAUGUGUAUUCUGCAGUAACAGCACAAGCAAAUGUACAGAGCUAGCCUUCAGCAACCUCUAUCAUGUGCUGGCAGCACCAGAAUGGAGAAUAAUGAGGGCACAAGUGUCAACCAACUGCCUCUUCCCCUCUGCUGAGAUACUGCAUAAUAGUGCUGUGCAUGGAGCAAAGCCCUGCAGCAGAGGAAUUGCUGAGAGGGCAAGUGGAGUUCCAUCUUGGUACAGUCAGUGUUGGUUCCUCCCCGUGUCCAUUCUCCUGAAAAGCCACUAAGAAACCACAACUGUCUCUUAAGGGGAAACCUUGCUUAUCAUGGACUAUAGGCUAUCCAGACGUUGGUCAGAGGACAUCACCACCAUCAAGGAGGAGGAUUUCCUGGACUCAGCCAGUGGACAGCCCAUCACCAGUGCUCACUGACAGUUCAGAGACAUAUUUUUGCCCUUAGAGGACAGCAGCACCCUGGGGACUCCUUGAGAAAUGGAUGCUCGUGAUCCAGAUGUGCUAACCCAGAAACAAGACUGCAAACAGAUGGAAAAUGAGCUGCUGAAUGAUAUUGUCUGACACGCUGAGGAUCAAAUGUUCUGGCAGGAGCUUGUGCCAGCAUUGUGAGAGGUGAUGAGUCUCCUGAAGCUGUGUUUUGCUCACAAGGUGCCAAAACAAAUGGAGUUCUUUGAUAGAAACAGUUGUUGGGUUCAUGAGCUUUGUAUGGCAUAGAGAAGUUGAACACAAUGCUGAUGCUGAAGGCAUUUGUGGCAUAGCUGUCAAUAUCCUUCUUAUCAAUCUUUUAAUCUUCAAAUACAGUUGAAUUUUACCCUUGAAGAAAAGGGCCACAGAGACAGUCUUUGAAACAAGUGCCCUCAGUAUACCUGCAGAAUAGAUGUACAUGGGAAAUGGUAAGCAAUAUACACUUUCCCUAACCCACAACAUUACUAGGCUCUAACGAGGUCUGCAGCUGCAUGUGAAGUUCAAUCUUCAGGUCCAUUUAUCUUAGGGCUGAGUGUGCUGACUGUCUGCAAGUCAGCAGGCUGGGUCCAGUGUGCUGGUGCUUUCAGAUAAUGUGGAUAAUAGUCAAGAGUAGGACUGAGACCAGCUAUUUUUGUACAACACAGGCUGCCAAACAGCUUUUGAUUUCCAAUUCAGUACUGAAGAGCUUCUAAUAUCUCUGCUAUUACUUGAACAACCGACAAAAUUACAAAGGUGGUAGAUGAGCUGAAUGCAGAAUCCUGCACUGCUGGACCUAGGGGAAACUUGAUGAAAUUAAUCGGGGAUCAAUUGAAAACAAGUACUUCUGUAGCAGUCAGUAGUGAGCUUUGGGAACUGGUGGCCAUGUGGUUUUGUGGGAGCUGACUGUCUCAGCAGAUUCAGGAGGGAUUAGACAGAUUCAAGGACAACAAGUCCAUUAAAAGGGGAAGGCAGGGAUGUACCCUCUGUGGUGUCUGCCACAUCAGAUACACAGCUGUUGGUGCUGAGGUGUACGAGGGGAUGAGAUUGCAGAAAUCAGCCAAGCUUGCUAGCUGAAAGCAAUACAAUCAACAAAAAAACAAGUUUCUUUUUCAGUCCUGGGUCUGAUCCUUACUGUAAAUCCACUAGUGCCCCCAAGUACAAACAGUACUAGAUCACUGUGAAUCUCCCAAGCCAAGCCCUCCCUCACCCUGUCUGCUGUGCUAACACACUGUAUGUGUUAGCACAACAGUGUGCCAUAUUACAGCCAUUCAUAUUACAAUGCAAAAUUCUAAAGGAACCAGAUGAACAAAUCUUGCAUAGGGUAUAGAAAAAGAUGGAGGCUGUGAAAUUUAAAUGCUAACAAAACAAUGUACAAGUGGGAAACAUAAAUACGUCCAAUCCACAGCUCAUUAAGGAUAAGUCACGCAUAAUGCAGAAGUUAUGGCAGUUUCAAACUUUCUUGGAUUUUGGAGGCUGAAAUGUAAAACCACUUGCAUUUCCUCUUUCCCAGCAAAUUAGGAAGUAAGCCAGCAUGCUAAUUUGUAUGUAUAAAACAAAAUAAAACUGACAAUUUUUUUAAAGCAAUUACUCUUGAGGCCACCCAGCAGUAGUGUUUCUAAAGCGGUCCUACCUUUGUU